rnacentral:lncRNA from 10 species
GGAGAAUCGCUUGAACCUGGAUAGCAGAGGCUGCUGUGAGCCCAGACCACACCAGUGCACUCCAGCCUGGGCAACAGAGUAAGACGCCAUCUCAAAAAGUAGAAAAUUUAAAUUUAAAAAGUAAUUUUUCAUUUUUACAUAGCACAUACUUUGUGUUUCUUGUGCAAAUAUUUACUGUUUGUUAUUGUUACGGUUUUCUAUUGAGACAUCCUGCCCUAUUUUUGACAGCUAUUAAACAUGUGGCUAAUAAUUUUGUUUUCUGAUUACAGAUGAAAUCUCAGUACAGACGCACUUUUUUGUUAAAUACACUAACAAGGAAGUUAGUGUAUUUCCAAAGAAAAUGCAAAAUGCUUGGAAUAUCUUCAACAUUCUCAAAUGUGGGCUCUAAAUCCAACAAUAAUUAUCCUUAUAAGAGACAGAAGAGGCACAAAUACAAAAGAGAAGGCCACGUGAAGGGAGUGUGGCCCUGCUGACAUCUUGAUUUCGGACUUUAGCCCUUCGGAACUUAAAUAAACUUCUGUAAGCUACCAAGUUUGUGGUCACCUGUUAUCUUACCUUCUGAAACAUUUCCCUACCAAUUCAACUAGCUACCUAACACAGCACCUGCCACGAGCUCUACCUGGUCUAGAAUUUCACCCCACGUUGACUUUACCUGCUCUAGAAUUUCAUCUCACAUUUACUGGGCUCCUCCCUACACUCUUGCCUGAGCUCCUACCCUUAGGUACUAUAUGUAUAAAUAUGUGUAACCUAGUCUAAAAUUGUCAUCAUCUGUAGCAAAAGUAAGUUUGCACCAUUUUUGGUAUUAUCUGCUCAAAUACAAGAACUGGUAAAAUGACAGGGCAGCAUGGACACAAUUAUAGGUCCAUAAAAACACAGCAUUACUGAGCUUGGUCUUCAUAUAAGAGAAAACAGGUGGCGCUUGGUUACAUGAAUAAAUUCUUCAGUGGUGAUUUCUGAGACUCUGGUACACCCACCACCCAAGCAAUGUGCACUGUACCCAAUGUGUAGACUUUUAUCUCUCCCCCUUCCCCACUACUCCCCGAGUCCUGAAAGUCCCUCAAAGUCCAUUAUAUCAUUCUUAUGCCUUUACAUCCUCAUAGCUUAGUUCCCACUCAUAAGUGAGAAUAUAGGCUAUUUAGUUUUCCAUUCCUGAGUUACUCCACAGAGAAUAAUAGUCUCCAAUUCCAUCCAGGUUGCUGCAAAUGCCAUUAUGUCAUUCAUAAACACACACACACACACACACACACACACACACACACACACUCACACACAUUUUCUUUAUCCACUCAUUGGCUGAUGGGCAUUUGGGCCAGUUCCAUAUUUUUGCAAUGCGAAUUGUGCUGCUAUAAACAUGCAUGUGCAAGUAUCUUUUUCGAAUAAUGACUUCUUUUCCUCCGGGUAGAUACCUAGUAGUGGGAUUGCUGGAUCAAACAGUAGAUCUACUUUGAGUUCUUUAAGGAAUCUCCACACUGUUUUCCAUAGUGGUUGCGCUAGUUUCCAUUCCCAAUAACAGUGUAAAACUGUUCCCUUUUCACUGCAUCCACGUCAACAUCUAUUAUUUUUUUAUUUUUGAUUAUGGCCAUUCUUGCAGGAGUGAGGUAGUAUUGCACAGUGGUUUUGAUUUGCAUUUCUCUGAUAAUCAGUGAUGUUGAGCAUUUUUCCAUAGGCUUGUUAGACAUUUGUAUACCUUCUUUUGAGAACUGUCUAUCCAUGUCCUUAGCCCACUUUUUUGUGGGAUUGUUUGGUUUGUUCUUGCUGAUUUGUUUGGCUUCUUUGUAGAUUCUGAAUAUUAGUCCUUUGUCUGAUGUACAGAUUGUGAAGACAGUCUCCCAUUCUGUAGGUUGUCUGUUUGCUGAUUAUUUCUUUUGCUGUGCAAAACCUUUUUUGUUGCAUUCACUUUUGGGUUCUCAGUCAUGAUGUCUUUGCAUCCUGAAACUCUGCUGAAUUCAUUUACCAAUUUUAAGAGCUUUUUGGAUACGUCUUUAGGGUUUUCUAGGUAUACAAUCACAUAUCAUCAGCUAACAGGGACAGUUUGACUUCCUCUUUACCGAUUUGGAUGCGCUUUCUUUCUUUCUCUGAUUGCUCUGGCUAGGACUUCCAGUACUAUACUGAAUAGAAGUGGUGAAAGUAGGCAUCCCUGUCUUGUUCCAGUUCUCAGAGGGAAUGCUUUCAACAUUUCCCCAUUCAGUAUAAUGUUGGCUGUGGAUUUGUGGUAGAUAGCUUUUAUUACCUUAAGGUAUGUCCCUUCUAUGCCAAUUUUGCUGAGGGUUUUCAUCAUAAAGGGAUGCUGGAUUUUGUCAAAUCCUUUUCUUGCAUCUAUUGAGAUGAUCAUGUGAUUUCCAUUUUUCAUUCUGCUUAUGUGGUGUACCACAAUUAUUGGCUUAAGUAUGUUAAACCAUCCCUGCAUUCCCUGGUAUGAAACCCACUUGAUCAUGGUAGAUUAUCUUUUUGAUAUGCUGUUGGACUCAGUUCACUAGUAUUUUGUUGAGGAUUUUGGCAUCAAUGUUCAUCGGGGGUACUGGUCUGUAGUCUUCUUUUUUUGUUCUUAAUAUUUUCUUAUUUUCAUUUUGCCUACACAGAUCAAAAUAAAUGUUGAUGUGAAUAGUAAAUCUCACAUUUAAAGAAAUACAAAUUUCC